ACGAGCGUGCUCCUGGGAGAGCAGUCAGCCUCCAAAACUGACGCACAGGGUUCGACUCCUUGCGCUCGUG
rnacentral:tRNA from 1 species